CUGAAACAUGGUACUAUUUGUUGCCUUUCCUCCACAGUUGGAAUGACCUUUGUCAUAAUCCACUGAGUACAGCCAGAGGAGCUGCAGGAAGCAGAUGUUAGCAUUGUAGAAACUUGGAUUCUAGUGCCUGUGGAGUUCCUUUGAUCCUAUUUUUAAUUCUCCAUUUCAAUAAAUAAGAUUCAACUGUUAUUUUUAGUUUUGGAGAUAUAAAAUUCACUUCACAUUUACUUAACAUAUGAGCAGAACUAUCUAGCAUCAGCUUUAGAUACCUUUUUAGAACAUUUCUUUAUUAGAUAUUCAGAUACUGUUUUGAAGUUUUGGUAACAGAGAAUCUCACAAAACGACUGCUUCAAUAAGAAAACUAAGCUUGCUUUUCCCUGUCCUCCCACCCCACACACAAUACAGGGAUAGCUGGGAUAGACUGCUGAUUAAUUUCCAGACUAUUUAUCGCAAUAAAUUGAGUCACACAAACGUUUUGAUUUUCCAUCCAGUGCCCAUUAAAGUCAUGUUUACAUUAUACUGUGGUCUAUUAAGCUUGAAAUAACAUUAUGUCUAUAAAACUUUGUACAUGCUUUAAUUAAAAAACAGUUUAUUGCUAAAAUAUGCUAAUGACCAGAGGGUCAUAAUCUCUUUUGAUACGGGAGGGUAUUCAUUCUAUGCUGAUGACUAUGGCAGCUGAGUGAUCGUGGCGGUGGUUGCUGAAGGUUGAGGAGGCCGUAGCAAUAUCUUAAAAUAAGUCAGCCAUGAAGUUCGAUGCAUAGGUGGACGCUUCUGCAUUCUGCGCAUGAGAGCUCUCUCCAUAGCCUGGGCUGCUGUUGCAGAGAUUUUCAUCCACAGUAGAAUGAACAUCUUUGAAAAUGGUGGCCAAUCUUCUCAAAUCCUGAUGCUGCUUUAAUAUUGUUAUUUCUCUAAUAUUCUAUUCCUUUGGCGAUCAUUUCCACAAUAUUCACAACAUCA